UACAGGGGGGGCAAGCGUUGUUCGGAAUUACUGGGCGUAAAGGGUCUGUAGGUGGCCAACUAAGUCAGACGUGAAAUCCCUCAGCUUAACUGGGGAACUGCGUCUGAUACUGGAUGGCUUGAGUGUGGGAGAGGAAUGCGGAAUUCCAGGUGUAGCGGUGAAAUGCGUAGAUAUCUGGAGGAAUACCGAUGGCGAAGGCAGGUCUCUGGGCUGACACUGACGCUCAUGCACGAAAGCGUGGGGAGCAAACAGG
rnacentral:rRNA from 1 species